rnacentral:lncRNA from 1 species
CCAUCUCCGUUGUUGUUACUUCGUCUAUGCUCAGUCUCGACUAUUGCUCCAGCUGCUCUUUGCUUCGUUUCUGCUCCAUCUCUGCUCGCUUGUACUAGUCUUCAAUUUUUCAAUUUGAGUAAAUUGUGAGUGUGGUUCUUUUUGUUUAUUUUAAACCCAAAUCAUAUUCGUUCAAUUUUUUAGACAAAUAGAAUGUUUGUCUCUUGAGCUCUGCAUUUGUAUCUUAUUUAAGGAUUGUUAGAAAACGAACGAUUUGAUGUUGGCUGGAUUUGUGAGAAACGAAACACAUAUCUAUUUAGAUGCCGAAAUAUGAGAAUAAAAGAAAUUAUGAUACCUAUCCAAUGAGUUAAAUUUUGUGCUUGGUGGCUCCAUGAAAGUAGUUCAAAUUGAAAUUUGAUUGGAAAGCCUUUUAUGAGAAUUGUGCGAUAGAGGAAAGAACUUUUUCCUGGAGUUUUUAUUAUUUUUUUGACUCAAAAGUUAUUUCCUGUAUGAGCUCUCUUACUUAUAGUCGCAUUGACUACAAUCGUAUGAAUUUGAAUGAGAAGUGUUUGGUUAUAUGAAAUAAUAAUAAUAAUAAUAAUAAUAAUAAUAAAAGCAAAAUAAUCUGCUCAAUUAUUAUAAUAAAUGGUGUGCAAAAUUCUGUUUGUUCUUGUGCAUCUGUGCAUACAUGUGUCGAAUUUGAAUUAGCAAUUCAAGAUGAUAGCUUGUUAACAAAAUUAUGUUUGUUUAGCUGGGUGAAUAACCCUCACUAGAUUACUACUUUACUUGCUUAGAUAGGUCACACAUUAGAACUUCCUUAUUGAAAAUAUACUAUUGGUCACCAAAUUGAAAAGUAGCAUCAAUUAUCAAUGUACACAUUAUUAGCUUACCAGUUUCAUUGUUGGGUUUGCUGGUUAUUAAGUUUAGGGGAGCAAUCUCAGUUAAUUUUGAUGAUUUAUAUAUGUAUUUAAUUUCAUUUUUAAUAACUCACAUGCAGGAAAUAUGGAUUCUAGGCUUAAUUUGGACUUAUGGUUUUCGCAAUUUCAUUUGGGAUCAGUCAGCUUCAAGGACAACACAAAUGUAGUUCAUCCUUUUUUUUUCUUGGUCUUAUCCACGAGGUAUCCUGGGGAGGGCUCCAACUGUGGGAGACACCUUUAAGCUCGUACCACAACCCAGACUAGAAGUCCCCGCUCGAACUGGGAGGCACAGGUUCUCCCAACAAAGGCGACUUCCCUGCGACUCGAACUGGGGAGCAAACCUAGUCAAGCCACUUAAGGGGACUCCAUUGCCAGUGGAGCCAACACUUUGUUGGUAAUGUAGUUCAUCAUUUCUUUGGCAUGGCACUUACUUUUCUUCUAUCCAUCUUUUUUGUUCUCUAU